rnacentral:rRNA from 1 species
UACGGGGGGUGCAAGCGUUAAUCGGAAUCACUGGGCGUAAAGGGUGCGUAGGCGGUACGUUAGGUCUGUCGUGAAAUCCCCGGGCUCAACCUGGGAAUGGCGGUAGAAACCGGCGCACUAGAGUUUGGUAGAGGGAAGUGGAAUUCCACGUGUAGCGGUGAAAUGCGUAGAUAUGUGGAGGAACACCAGUGGCGAAGGCGGCCACCUGGCCCAAUACUGACGCUGAGGCACGAAAGCGUGGGGAGCAAACAGG